UGCCCAAGAGAUCGGGAUAACACCUGGAAACAGAUGCUAAUACCGGAUAACAACAGAUGAUGCCUAUCAACUGUUUAAAAGAUGGUUCUGCUAUCACUCUUGGAUGGACCUGCGGUGCACUAGCUAGUUGGUAGGGUAACGGCCUACCAAGGCGAUGAUGCAUAGCCGAGUUGAGAGACUGAUCGGCCACAUUGGGACUGAGACACGGCCCAAACUCCUACGGGAGGCAGCAGCG
rnacentral:rRNA from 1 species